UGCUCUAUGGUUCCUACCAGAGGACCUCUACAGUGAUGUAUCAGGAUUUUGCUGCUGGUGCUAGUGGACCAUCCAGAUGGCUGUAAACUUGCAGAGGAGAUACAGAACGUGAUCUUUCGAACUGGAUUAAAGCAACUUGUUGAUAUUUUUAUUUAUACGUUUUAAUUUUUGUACUUGACUUAAAGUGCCAUGAAAAAAAUUGCAUAUUGCAAGGUGGUCCUUGCCACCUCUUUGGUUUGGGUCCUUGUGGAUAUGUUUCUAUUGCUGUAUUUCAGUGAAUGUAACAAAUGUGAUGAUAAAAAAGAACGAGGCCUGCCUGCUGGAGAUGUUCCAGAACCCGUACAAAAACCACAUGAAGGACCUGGAGAGAUGGGGAAGCCUGUGGUCAUUCCAAAAGAGGAGCAAGAAAAAAUGAAAGAAAUGUUUAAAAUCAAUCAAUUUAAUUUAAUGGCAAGUGAAAUGAUUGCACUCAACAGAUCUUUACCUGAUGUCAGGUUAG